UCUGCUGUUCUGUAUGGAAGACUAGUGAUUUUGUUGUUGUUUUCAUGCUAACAACAAAGCACUGGCUUCCCGGCAGCGCAUCGCA
rnacentral:pre_miRNA from 1 species